rnacentral:snRNA from 1 species
AAACUUAAGAAGGGGAGAUACCAUGAUUAUAAAGGUGGUUUCCCCAGAGUGAAUCUUAUUUAUCCAUUGUAUUCUGGAUGUGCUGACCCCUGUGAUUUCCCCAAAUGUGGAAAACUUGACUGCAGAAUUUGUGGUAGUGAGGGAACA